rnacentral:precursor_RNA from 11 species
AGUUUCUUUUUUAUGAUGGCCUCUAUCUUGCCGUUCUUACCGAGGCAAUAAAGUAGAUGAGAUUUUUGCCUAAGUAAGGACUUCAGGAUUAGGCCCAAUGGACUCUCAGCUGGGC